CAGCCGUAAACUAUGCGCGUUAGGUGUAUCGGUGACCACGAGUUACCGAGGUGCCGAAGGGAAACCGUGAAACGUGCCGCCUGGGAAGUACGGUCGCAAGGCUGAAACUUAAAGGAAUUGGCGGGGGAGGCACCACAACAGGUGGAGCCUGCGGUUUAAUUUGGACUCAACGCCGGAAAUCUCACCGGAUAGGACAGACAUAUGAUAGUCGGGCUGAAGACUCUACUUGAUGAUCUGAGAGGUGGUGCAUGGCGUCAGUGACU
rnacentral:rRNA from 1 species